rnacentral:rRNA from 1 species
GACGAACGCUGGCGGCGUGCUUAACACAUGCAAGUCGAACGGAGUGGCGAACGGGUGAGUAACACGUGGGUGACCUGCCCUGCACUUCGGGAUAAGCCUGGGAAACUGGGUCUAAUACCGGAUAGUGUGGGAUGGGCCGGCGGCCGAUCAGCUUGUUGGUGGGGUAAUGGCCUACCAAGGCGGCGACGGGUAGCCGGCCUGAGAGGGUGGACGGGCACCAUGGGACUGAGACACGGACCAGGAUCGAACUGGGGGCAGCAGUGGGGAAUAUGGCACAAUGGGGGGAAGACUGAUGCAGCGACGUCGCGUGGGGGAUGACGGCCUUCGGGUUGUAAACUACUUUCACCAUCGAGGCGGUAGAUGGAGAAGAAGCACCGGCUAACUACGUGCCAGCCGCCGCGGUAAUUC